rnacentral:rRNA from 1 species
UCAGGCCUAACACGUGCAAGUCGAGGGGUAGAAGGAGCUUGCUCCUUUGAGACCGGCGCACGGGUGCGUAACGCGUAUGCAAUCUACCUUUUACAGAGGGAUAGCCCAGAGAAAUUUGGAUUAAUACCUCAUAGUAUAUAACCUUCGCAUGUUGGUUAUAUUAAAGUUCCAACGGUAAAAGAUGAGCAUGCGUCCUAUUAGCUAGUUGGUGUGGUAACGGCACACCAAGGCAACGAUAGGUAGGGGUCCUGAGAGGGAGAUCCCCCACACUGGUACUGAGACACGGACCAGACUCCUACGGGAGGCAGCAGUGAGGAAUAUUGGACAAUGGGCGCAAGCCUGAUCACAGCCAUGCCGCGUGCAGGAAGACGGUCCUAUGGAUUUAAAGUGCUUUUGUACGGGAAGAAACACUCCUACGUGUAGGAGCUGAC